GACGAACGCUGGCGGCAUGCCUAAUACAUGCAAGUCGAGCGAACAGAUGAAGUGCUUGCACUUCUGACGUUAGCGGCGAACGGGUGAGUAACACGUAAGGAAUCUACCUAUAAGCGGGGGAUAACAUUCGGAAACGGGUGCUAAUACCGCAUAAUAUCUUCUUCCGCAUGGAAGAAGAUUGAAAGACGGCUCUGCUGUCACUUAUAGAUGACCUUGCGGUGCAUUAGUUAGUUGGUGGGGUAAUGGCCUACCAAGACAAUGAUGCAUAGCCGACCUGAGAGGGUGAUCGGCCACAUUGGGACUGAGACACGGCCCAAACCCCUACGGGAGGCAGCAGUAGGGAAUCUUCCGCAAUGGGCGAAAGCCUGACGGAGCAAUGCCGCGUGAGUGAAGAAGGCCUUCGGGUCGUAAAACUCUGUUAUAAGAGAAGAACAAAUUGUAGAGUGACUGCUACAGUCUUGACGGUAUCUUAUCAGAAAGCCACGGCUAACUACGUGCCAGCAGCCGCCGUAA
rnacentral:rRNA from 1 species